rnacentral:rRNA from 1 species
UACGUAGGGUGCAAGCGUUGUCCGGAAUUAUUGGGCGUAAAGAGCCCGUAGGCGGUCUGUCGCGUCGGCUGUGAAAACUUGGGGCUCAACCCCGAGCCUGCAGUCGAUACGGGCAGACUAGAGUGCGGUAGGGGAGACUGGAAUUCCUGGUGUAGCGGUGAAAUGCGCAGAUAUCAGGAGGAACACCGGUGGCGAAGGCGGGUCUCUGGGCCGUAACUGACGCUGAGGAGCGAAAGCGUGGGGAGCAGACAGG